GGAAUUGUUCGCAAUGGGCGAAAGCCUGACGACGCAACGCCGCGUGGAGGACGAAGCUUUUCGGAUCGUAAACUCCUUUCGAUCGGGACGAAUGACUGGUGACCCAACACGUCAUCAGAGUGACGGUACCGAGAGAAGAAGCCCCGGCUAACUCCGUCCCCGCAGCCGCGGUAAUACGGGGGGGGCAAGCGUUGUUCGGAAUUACUGGGCGUAAAGGGCGCGUAGGCGGCCUGCUAAGUCACACGUGAAAUCCCUCGGCUCAACCGGGGGACUGCGUGUGAUACUGGCGGGCUUGAAUUCGGGAGAGGGAUGUGGAAUUCCAGGUGUAGCGGUGAAAUGCGUAGAUAUCUGGAGGAACACCGGUGGCGAAGGCGGCAUCCUGGACCGAGAUUGACGCUGAGGCGCGAAAGCUAGGGUAGCAAA
rnacentral:rRNA from 1 species